rnacentral:tRNA from 1 species
GGUGGCUCAUUGGUAGAGCACUUGCCUUGCAUGCAUGAGGGCCUGGGUUCAAUUCCUCAGCACCA